CUAACCUUAAGGAAAAAGUAUUAAUAAUACCGUGAAACCACGGUAUAUCAGUUAUCCAGAAGGUUGCAUAGCAGAGACACGAGUGGGAAUAGAUUGUAUGAUUUUAUUCUCAAAAUAUCUACGUGGGGGUGUGUAUACAAGAUCUGAUAGAAGAUCUCGGAAUAAUGAUGAAUGUGACCCAAGUGAUGCAGAAAAUAUGACUUUGUUUCGUAACAAAGGAGUUCCUUUAGGAGCAAUGAAAAUUGAUCCAUUCAUUUUAGAUGACAAGUCACUCAGUCAAGCACAUGCAUAUAUUAGGUACCUUAAUUUGAAUUUGGUGUUCAUUUUGUAUAAUUAAUUUUAACUUAUUUUAUUUAUAGUUUUAAGAAAAUAAGUUCAUGGUGUGUAGAGAGCAUGAACAAGAGGUAAAUAAUCAACUACGAAGAUCUAAAUGGAGCAAGUCCAAGAGUUAUUGUCAAAACUUCUCUCAAUGGUUUGAAACUCGUGCUCUGCAAAAGGAUGUGCCUGAUUUGAUAAAACAAUUUUCUAGAGGACCGAAUUCUGUUGCAAAAAGGUAUUCUGGGUACCCCAUCAAUGGAUAUAGAUUCCAUGUUAGGCAGCAUGAUGCAAGGAGUAAAACACAAAAUAGUGGUGUUACACUAGUUGCCUCAACUACAAGUUUUGCAAGCUCAAAGGAUGUUCCAAUUGCUGCAAAUUUGACUUAUUAUGGUAGAAUAGUUGAUAUUGUUGAGCUAGACUAUCACGGCCAUUUUAAGGUUGUUCUAUUCAAGUGUGAUUUGUAUGAGGUUGAAAAUGAUACUUAUGGCCUUACUUAUGUCUAUUUUAACAAAAGAUGCUCUCAAGAAGGCCUUUUGUACUUGGAUCUCAAGUACACCAAUGUUUCUAUGUGCAAGAUCCAUAUGAUCAAGAUAGACAUUAUGUUAUGAAGACUGUUCCAAGAGAUUUGUUUAACAUGAGUGAUCAAGUUGAAUCUAGUCUCUCACAAAGUUAUGAAAAUGAUCCAUCUGUACAUUCAGUGGGACCAUCUAUACCAAAAGAUAAUAGUGAAGUUCUCUUAACAAGGACUGAUUUACCAAAAACAGUUAUUGAUGUGCCUUUUGAAGAAUUUAUUACUCAACAACUUGAAGAUGAGUAUGAAGAGGAAUUAGAAGAUGAGUUUGAAGACGAGACUGAAGAUGAGUCUGAAGAUGAGCCUGAAGAUGAGUCUGACGAAGAGUUUGAAGAUGACACACCAUGAGUUUCAUUAUUUGUGUGAUGACUAUGUGGUGCUCACUUACUGUUUUGUUAUUUAAUUGGUUUUUUACUACAAACACAUAAAGAUAUGUAAUAUGUGGAAUUGAAGAUUAUAUCGCUACAAUCUUUCAGUAUUCUAUUGGUUUUUUCCCUUUAUUUCUGCUAUGAUAUAGAUAUAUGGGAUAUUUUCAGUUUUAUACAUUAGACAAGGUUCAUUGGUUCUUUUUCUCAUAGGCUUAUGUGACCAUUCCAGUUCAAAUCUAACUUUUGGUUGAAGACUCUACUGCUGAAACAACAGUGCAAGUGAAUAAUGUCAUGUGCUUUUCUCCACUUUACUGUAACAUCUCAGAGUAUCUCUUUAUCUUUUGUGGGGUUCUUUUGUUUACACCUAAUGCUUGAGACAUUAAAGACAUGUAAUUCAGAAGGUUAGCAGCUAGCAGGUAUGAGUAUUCUACUUUUCAGUUACACUUUCCGUUGUUUAUUGUGUUGGUGGGAUGUUGGAUGUUAUGCUAGUUAAGAGAUAAGAGGAAAAUCAAUGUUAUCAGCUAGUGGAAUUAUCUAUUUCCUGUUAUUAUCAUCUAAUUUACAUUACAGGUGGAACUAAACUGUCAAGUUAGUUCUAUGUUGUUAUUGAUAUUAAGCUGGAAAAGUUGUAUUGAUUAUUGUUGUUUCUUUUGGCCUCUCUUAUUUGUUGGGUAUGAGUUGUUAAAAUUUCUAAUGUCUGUAAAAGAUGUCAUUAUUUUUUAUAGGUGGAGUUUAUUAUAUAGUCAAUCACAAUUUGCUUGGAUUAACACGUAACUGUUGUAGUUUAGUUUGGCAUUUGUUAUAUACUACACUUUUCUUAUAUCUUACCCUUGACCUAGUCCCACAUAGCCUCUACUCUUCUUUUAAUCCCUAAGCAGAAGUUUCAGAGACAGGAUCAUACCAAAUCUUGUGUUUUCAAUGUUAACUAAGAGGGUUAGGAUAAUAUUUCAAGGUGUUAUAACUCUCUCUUGAUAAAGCUUAAUAAACCAGUCUUUUGGAGGCGCAAACAUAAUAACAACGAGAGGGGGGAGCAAUAGCAAAAAUCUUUGGUGAAAGUAUAGGUCUACUUAUUUCCUUUCAUAUCUCUAUCUCUAGCAUAGUUUAGAGAAAAUGCUAAAGAGGAGGCACAAUGAAGAGACUUAAACAAAAUGAGAAGUCCUAGAAAUGGAAAAAUAUUUACAGUCAGUUUGAACUUCGACAUAAUUUGAACAAAACUAAUUGUCAGAUAGUUAACAUGGAUUCUGCAAAUAAUAACCUAACAUUUCCUGUCAGGUCACUAAAGAGUUCAUAGGCAUGAUAAAAGUAUUCUUGCUUUUCAGAACCUUGUUGGCUUAUCUGUAUCUGAAGGUUACAUUGCUACUUACUCAAAGACGAAAAAAGCCUCUGAAAGUUUAACAACUGUUGGACGACUAUAUGGAAAAAAUAAAAUUUCAGAAUGAGGCAUAAGUAGAGAAAUAUUUUUGCAGUCCUUGGUUAAUAUUCCCUUGAAACAAGAAAAUCCAAUUUUUUACUUAGGAAAACUGAUGCAUCAUGAGAAGUCCUAUCAAAAGAAGCUAUGUUUUAAACUUUACUGUCAAAGACAGUGCAACAGUUAUAAGAAUUGAUGGUGUAUCCUUAUGUAUAGCUUCUGGUUUUUGAAUGAGUAUAUGAAUGAGUGAGGUAAGGAAUUAUCAAGAUAUGUAAGGUGAAAGCUGAAAAGCAUGACAUGUAGAAGGAAAGUAAAACCAUUCUGCACAAGGGAAGUAUGACUUGCCAGGAUUUCAUCUACCACUAUGUUUGUAUUUGUAACAAAACACUUUUCAAUAUUUGUAAUCUACCACUAUGAAGUUUGUGGCCAGUUAAUUUUUAUGAUUAUUAUUUUGGAGGUCUACUUAAUACAAAGAAAGAGCAAAAAGAUGAAUCAAUCAGCAAUACUAAAAGGGUUUGAAUCCUAACAAGGCUCAAAGUCCAUUGAAGAAUCUGGAUGCUGAUAUGCAAUACCGCUCAAGUACUGAAUUGGUCAAUAAAUUUUAGAUUAAGAGAGAAAAUGUUGCAAACGAAUGCAAUAGUAAAUCUAAGAAAGCGCACCUACCAAUAUCGCUUAAAAGAAAGAAAUCCGAGGAUUUCAUUCCACAACAAGGAAAAAGUGAAUUUGUUGGCCACAAAUCAGUUAUUCAGUCAUCUCCCAGGGAAGAACUUAGUACUGCAAAUAUGAUUUUAGGGAAAGGACAGAACGAACCAAGGUCAUUUCUAUGUGGAGAGUCCAUUCACGAAAAAGGAUUUAAACUACCUAUGCCUAAUUUCAGGUUCCAAAUGUCAUCUAAUGAAAAUGUUACUUCGUCUACAUGUGAAUGGAACAACACUACAUAAUGGAGAGGAACAACAUGAAAUUCAGGAUCUAUUAAACUUCAAACAGGUGAAGAGGAAGUUGGUCCUACCAGCCACUAGUGUUGAACAGUUUCUGAAUGACCAAGAGAUACAGAAAGAACAUGAUAUUGAUCAUGAUCUACCAACAAAGAAACACAUAACGAAGAAGUCAGUCAUACCACCUACUGGUCUUGAUCAAUUUAAGAAACAAUAAGGGAUGGUCAUAGGCGAUGAAAGAAACAGAUUAACCACACAGUUGCUGAUGUCGAGUAUACACCUACUCCUUCUAUUCAUCUCCAUAAAAGGAUUGGAUGCUAUUGAGGAUGAAGUAGAAAUUGGAAAGGAUGCAGUUUAUGAGGAAGUUGAUAUUGAUUGUAGUACAAAAGGGAAAUCGGAGCAGAAAAAAUGUUUGAGGAGAAACAGCAUGUAAGAAUAUUCAUGCAAGAACUUUUGAAGAAAGAGAGGAAGUGACAUUUGAUAACGGACAAGCAGUGGGACCAACCGAUAAGAUAGUGUCAGAAUUAACAAAU